rnacentral:rRNA from 1 species
ACGUAGGGGGCAAGCGUUAUCCGGAAUUAUUGGGCGUAAAGAGUGCGUAGGUGGUUUUUUAAGCGUGAGGUGAAAGGCAAUAGCUUAACUAUUGUAAGCCUUGCGAACUGGAAGACUUGAGUGCAGGAGAGGAAAGUGGAAUUCCUAGUGUAGCGGGUAAAUGCGUAGAAAUUAGGAGGAACCCCAGGGGCGAAGGGGACUUUCUGGACUUUAACUGACCCUGAGGCAAGGAAACGUGGGGAACAAACAG